GUCCUUUACUGACGCUAAAGCUCGAAAGUGCGGGUAUCGAACAGGAUUAGAUACCCUGGUAGUCCGCACGGUAAACGAUGGAUGCCCGCUGUUUGCGAUACAAUGUAAGCGGCCAAGCGAAAGCGUUAAGCAUCCCACCUGGGGAGUACGCCGGCAACGGUGAAACUCAAAGGAAUUGACGGGGGCCCGCACAAGCGGAGGAACAUGUGGUUUAAUUCGAUGAUACGCGAGGAACCUUACCCGGGCUUGAACUGCAGCGGAAGGAUUGAGAGAUCAUGACGCCCUUCGGGGCCGCUGUGGAGGUGCUGCAUGGUUGUCGUCAGCUCGUGCCGUGAGGUGUCGGCUUAAGUGCCAUAACGAGCGCAACCCCUUUCGUCAGUUGCCAUCAGGUUAAGCUGGGCACUCUGGCGACACUGCCACCGUAAGGUGUGAGGAAGGUGGGGAUGACGUCAAAUCAGCACGGCCCUUACGUCCGGGGCUACACACGUGUUACAAUGGGUGGUACAGAGAGUCGGCCGCUGGCAAUGGCGGUCCAAUCAUGAAAGCCAUCCUCAGUUCGGAUUGGGGUCUGCAACCCGACCCCAUGAAGCUGGAUUCGCU
rnacentral:rRNA from 1 species